rnacentral:rRNA from 1 species
CAUUUGUUCUCUAAAUAAGGACUUGUAUGAAUGGCCACACGAGGGUUUUACUGUCUCUUACUUCCAAUCAGUGAAAUUGACCUCCCCGUGAAGAGGCGGGGAUAAAUCAACAAGACGAGAAGACCCUAUGGAGCUUUAACCAAGUAACUCAAGGAAAAUAAAUUCAACCACCAAGGGAUAACAACACUCCUUAUGAGUUAACAGUUUCGGUUGGGGUGACCUCGGAGAACAGAAAAUCCUCCGAGCGAUUUUAAAGACUAGACUAACAAGUCAAACCAAACCAUCGCUUAUUGAUCCAAAAACUUGAUCAACGGAACAAGUUACCCUAGGGAUAACAGCGCAAUCCUAUUCAAGAGUCCAUAUCGACAAUAGGGUUUACGACCUCGAUGUUGGAUCAGGACACCCCGAUGGUGCAACCGCUAUCAAAGGUUCGUUUGUUCAACGAUUAAAGUCCU